rnacentral:rRNA from 1 species
AUUGAACGCUGGCGGCAUGCCUUACACAUGCAAGUCGAACGGUAACAGGUCUUCGGACGCUGACGAGUGGCGAACGGGUGAGUAAUACAUCGGAACGUGCCCAGUCGUGGGGGAUAACUACUCGAAAGAGUAGCUAAUACCGCAUACGAUCUGAGGAUGAAAGCGGGGGACCUUCGGGCCUCGCGCGAUUGGAGCGGCCGAUGGCGGAUUAGGUAGUUGGGGGGAUAAAAGCUUACCAAGCCGACGAUCUGUAGCUGGUCUGAGAGGACGACCAGCCACAGUGGGAUGGCGAAACGGCCCAGACUCAGACGGGAGGCAGCAGUGGGGAAGUGUGGACAAUGGCCGAAAGCCUGAUCCAGCAAUGCCGCGUGCAGGAUGAAGGUCUUCGGAUUGUAAACUCCUGUUGCCCGGGACGAAAAGCUUCGACCUAAUACGUCGAAGUCUGACGGUACCGGGUGAGGAAGCCCCGGCUAACUCUGUGCCAGCCGCCGCCGUAA